GAUGAACGCUGGCGGCGUGCCUAACACAUGCAAGUCGAACGACCGGACGAGUAGCUUGCUUCUCUGAUGUUAGCCGCGCACGGGUGAGUAACAUGUGGACAACCUAUCUAUAAGACUGGAACACCUCCAGGAAACCGGUGCUACUACAGGCUAAUAUUUUGAACCGCAUGGUUCCAAUCUGACCUACGGUCUUGCUGUCACCUGUAGAUGGAUCCGCGCUGCAUUAGCUAGUUGGUAAGGUAACGGCUUACCAAGGAAACGGUCCAUAACCGACCUGAGAAGGUGGACCGCCACACCGGAACUUAGACACGGGCCAGGCUCCUUCGGGAGGCAAGAGUAGGGAAUCUUCCGCAAUUGGCGGAAGCCUGGCGGAACAACGCCGGGGGGGUGGUGGAAGUCUUCGGAGCGGAAAACUCUGUUAUUAGGGAAAGACAUAUGUGGAAGUAACUGGGCACAUCGUGGCGGGACCUGGACAGAGAGGCACGGCUAACUACGGG
rnacentral:rRNA from 1 species